AAUAUAGUGAGAGCCUCAAAUGGGAUCCCUGGCAGUCCAGUCAAGUCUGGAGAUGUCCAGGAUCCAUGACAUGGGCUUCAGCAUUUUUCCCCACC